GUGGGGGCGCGUGCGAUGUCCCCGCAUCGCGGGCCGAUCGCAAGUCUGAGUAUUGAGCUGCAGAACAUUGCGCGAUGGUCCCGCAUCAUGGACCAAUCGCGAAUCGGCACCCCAUUCACGAAAAUUUACCCUAAAGUCAAUAAGAACAAGUCCCAAGCCUCAAGAACCAUACAAGGGUUUGCAACAUAAUUCUUUCCAAAGUGAUUCAAGCUAGGGUUUGGGUGUUCUUCAUUAGAAAAGUGAUUUGUUAAACUAUGUUUAACAAAUUAAGGUAUGUC